AUGGUGCAGCAGGAGGAAGACCUGCGCAAGGAAGUAGGCGCCUGGGUUCUGUGUGAGAAAGGCUUACGAGACUUCGCAGAGUUUUGUAAGCACUUGCUUGACGCUUCAGAGCUGUUGAAAUCCCAGGCCAAAGAACUCAAAGAUGCCCAUCGGCAGCAAAAGCUGGCCCUGUGGGACUUCUUGGAGCUCAAUGAGCAUGGCAGAGCUCUGCUCCCAGAAGCAGGUGUGGGACAAAGAGGAGGAGAUGGAGGCAGCCAUGUAGAAAGUCAACACGACGUGGCAGGAGAACUGAAGAUCCAAGAAGCUCAGAAAGAGGAAGCUGUUUAGCCAGCUGGAAGCUUAGCUCAAGGAUGCUGUUGCUGAGGCCUCAAAGGAGUGCAGACUCUGUGAGCACAUCACCGACUUCAAGCAAACAGAAAGUGUGCCUGAGACCCUUGAGGCAGUGCUGGGUUACAGUCUUUACUCUUAACCCAAGACAGAAAUCUCAUCUUGCUGAGGCAAGCGUGUAGACAUCGCCUUGUGUAAUGUGCUGGUCCUGGCUGAGCAUUACCCAAGGCAGUUCCAGACAAGACAGAUGUGGAGAGGCAGGGCAGGACCCUACCCUCAUGAUUGCUUUCAUUUUGAAAGCCAGGUCUGUUACUCCACUAAUACACUAAUAAUAUUAGAGCUGGGUGUGUGGCUCACACCUGUAAUCCCAGAACUUUGGGAGGUCGAGGCGGGUAGAUCACCUGAGGUAAGGAGUUUGUGACCAGCCUAGCCAUGAUGAAACCCCGUCUCUACUGAAAAUACAAAAAAUAGCUGGGUGUGGUGGCACAUGCCUGUAAUCCCAGCUACACAGGAGGUUGAGGCAGAAUUGAUUGAACCCAGGAGAUGGAGGUUGCAGCAAGCUGAGAUCAUGCCACUGCACUCCAGCCUCGGCAACAGAGUGAG
rnacentral:lncRNA from 13 species